rnacentral:rRNA from 1 species
AGGACGAACGCUGGCGGCGUGCUUAACACAUGCAAGUCGAGCGGAAAGGCCCUUCGGGGUACUCGAGCGGCGAACGGGUGAGUAACACGUGAGUAACCUGCCCCUAGCUCUGGGAUAGCUCCGGGAAACCGGGAUUAAUACCAGAUACGACCACUUUAGACAUCUGUCGUGGUGGAAAGGAUUCCGGCUAGGGAUGGGCUCGCGGCCUAUCAGCUUGUUGGCGGGGUAACGGCCUACCAAGGCGACGACGGGUA